rnacentral:lncRNA from 7 species
AGAACCCCCUUCCCUUACGCAGCCCCGAGCAGCGCCCGGCGCAGGCUGGCAAACUGCUUUUCUGUCCAGAGAUCAACCAGGGGGGCUGAUACUUUUUAUUUUGUUACUUGCACCAUGGGAGAACUUGUAUCAUCGAAAGACAAUUUCAUUUUGAGUCCACUGCUUGUGAGCACUGUUGAUCCUGGACGUCACUAGCAAUAUGAGCCUUGGCAAUAAAUCGUUACAGAGGGCGUGGACCCAGGGAGACUCUACAGAUGUGAACACAGCCCAUUGGAUCAAACAUGUUGAUCCAGGUACCUCUGGACAAGAUCGAGCACACAUGACAAAUGCUUCUGACUUCUUUUUAAAUCGAACCUGGAAGGCCAUCGCUGAACAAACAGAAUGCUAUACAACCGUGGCCAUAAAUUGUGAAAGCUAACAAUAAGUGCAAGAUUACUCCCUUGGGAAAGCAGAUACCUGUGUUCUGAGACAUGAAUCUACACUAUAAUCUCGCAGCGUAAACAGGAUAUGAGCAGUUUCAUUAUGUACUUCUCAGAUGCAUCUUUAACCAGGAUAAACUACUCUCACAGAGGUUGAAAGGUAAUCUGAGACUUCGCAGUACAAUUGUAUUUCUCUUCCUCUAAGCCAAGACUUCCUAGAAAUAAGGAAUUUGUGCAACUGUGUAAAUGUGAGUGCUGCCCAUUAACCAGCUGGGGACUAUUGAACCUACUCAUUUUAAACCUCAAAAUUCUCAUAGAUUGUGUACUACUCUCACCAGUCUCCUGUUUUUACAUGGUUUAUUUACUGCGAGUCCUACACUUAAUUGGCUAUUGACAAUGUUUACUUUUUUCCUAUAUUAGUACAAAUGGUUUUAUAUCAAGAUAUAGUAGUUUAUCAUUCAGUAUAAUAUAGUGUGCUUAAGACCUAACUAAAUUCCUCCACCUCUUGGACCUUUUCUGAAAAAUUUACUGGAUACCCAAUAUAUUUAAUAUUCAAUAGCAUGUGAGAAUAAUUUUUAUGCAACUCUGAUAGUUAGAAAGAUAGAUAACUCAAUUAUUAGAUCAUCUAUCAAAAUAUUCAGAUGUAUAAGAGGCUACUAAAAAGAUUGAUGACUGAGAAAGUCCACUGAUUCUCCAGCCAUCAUAUUCACACAUUUGGCUAGACAACAUUUUUCGCUGCCUUCACGAGCAAGCUUCAUUACUCAUCACUUCACUGAAAAGAGUUUAUUAUGAGGCUGCCAUCUUGGCAAGACUAUUAUUUAGAUGAUAAAUGUUGGGGGAAAAAUUGUGUCUAGAGUUUUUUUUUUUAAGAUGAGCUUUUUGACAGAUAAAACAAACAGCAUCUACAUUUCUAAUUAACUUAAAUUUGGCAUAUACAAAUACAGGUCAGUAAAGUAUGAUAUGCUACUAGAUUAUCUUCUGCCUGAAUCUUGUCCUUAAUUUGUAAAAUGUAAAUUAACUAAUUAGAAGAAAAGCAGCAUUAUUUGUGACAAAAUACUCCUAUUUCUUUGCUUUGUGACAUUUAUGAUCAACUAUAGUUCUUCAUUCUAACUUCUUAGAGAUAGAUAAUAAUACUCACACUAAUUUAUUAUGUUUCUGUUAUUUUAAACCAAGUGAAAACUUGAGAUUUCCGAAAGGAUUAAAGCACAACAGAUUUUGCAACGUGGAGCUAAAUUAGAUGCCUGCCAGCUUAAUUUCCUUUUCACUAUUAUGCCUUUUCAUGUACGUGUAGCAUGAACAUAGGUAUGAAGAUAGCACUUUCACUAUUCAAGCACCAGACUCAAAAGGAAAAGUUAAUAUGUUACUAGAAAUCCCUAUAUCCUUUCCGUGCAAGAUGUAGAGUAAUAAUAAUAAAUUUGUGCUUUGUUUGCUAGUACUAAGAGUUAAAUUUCUCUUUAUACUCCUACUUCGCUCCUCAACUGCCAUUUGAAAUAGAUUAGACUAGCAAAUAUAGAGUUACCAAGUUACAUGAAGCAAGGAGGAGUUGGUCAUUCUUGAGUUUCAGCUCAGCAACCUGGCCUUGUUAAAUAAAAAAUAUACGAUAUCACAGUUUAUAGGAAGGGAUUCUUUUUGCUGUGGUUUGGUUUUAACUAUUACUACAUAGAUAAAGAUUCAACACUAAGAAAUACAUUGAAAAUGUCAGAUGUAAAUGUCAAUUAAAAAUUACAAGGAAUUCUGAAAGGUAAGGUCUGUGGGGGGUUGACAUUCUUUGACAUAGUGGAGUGUCUGCAACCAGGCCUUUGGCAAGCAUAGCAGGAUCUAUGCUGUCAGCUCUUAUUGUACAGAAACUUAGAUGCUUGUCUAAUCUGAAUGAGAAAUACCACGAAAAUUGGAGUUGAAGCCUUGCAGUAAUGUGGAUGGAGGCUGAAAAUACUCUAUCUGCACUACAUGAGUCUCUUGUGACACGAUAAUAUUUAAGGCAGUCCAGAAAAAUGUAAGGGAAAAAUAAUUUAAAUAAAACUACAUAGUGUU